rnacentral:rRNA from 1 species
GAUGAACGCUAGCGGCAGGCUUAACACAUGCAAGUCGAGGGGCGGCACAGAAACAGCAAUGUUUUGGUGGCGACCGGCGGACGGGUGCGUAACGCGUAUGCAACCUACCUCUAACAGGGGGAUAACGGAGAGAAAUUUCCACUAAUACCCCAUAACAUCGAUCAAGGCAUCUUGAUUGGUUGAAAACUCCGGUGGUUAAAGAUGGGCAUGCGUUGUAUUAGGUAGUUGGUGAGGUAAUGGCUCACCAAGCCUACGAUACAUAGGGGGACUGAGAGGUUAGCCCCCCACACUGGUACUGAGACACGGACCAGACUCCUACGGGAGGCAGCAGUGAGGAAUAUUGGUCAAUGGGGGCAACCCUGAACCAGCCAUGCCGCGUGCAGGAAGACGGCUCUAUGAGUUGUAAACUGCUUUUAAACAGGGAUAAAGCACAGUAUGUAUACUGUGUUGAAGGUACUGUAAGAAUAAGGAUCGGCUAACUCCGUGCCAGCCGCCGCGGUAA